rnacentral:rRNA from 1 species
GUGAGGAAUAUUGGUAAAUGGGCGAGAGCCUGAACCAGCCAAGUCGCGUGAAGGAAGAAGGAUCUAUGGUUCGUAAACUUCUUUUGCAGGGGAAUAAAGUGCAGGACGUGUCCUGUUUUGUAUGUACCCUGAGAAUAAGGAUCGGCUAACUCCGUGCCAGCAGCCGCGGUAAUACGGAGGAUCCGAGCGUUAUCCGGAUUUAUUGGGUUUAAAGGGUGCGUAGGUGGUUUGAUAAGUCAGCGGUGAAAGUUUGCAGCUUAACUGUAAAAAUGCCGUUGAAACUGUCGGACUUGAGUGUAAAUGAGGUAGGCGGAAUGCGUGGUGUAGCGGUGAAAUGCAUAGAUAUCACGCAGAACUCCGAUUGCGAAGGCAGCUUACUAAGCUACAACUGACACUGAAGCACGAAAGCGUGGGGAUCAAACAGGAUUAGAUACCCCUGUAGUCC